rnacentral:rRNA from 1 species
GAUGAACGCUGGCGGCGUGCCUAAUACAUGCAAGUCGAGCGAACGGACGAGAAGCUUGCUUCUCUGAUGUUAGCGGCGGACGGGUGAGUAACACGUGGAUAACCUACCUAUAAGACUGGGAUAACUUCGGGAAACCGGAGCUAAUACCGGAUAAUAUCUUGAACCGCAUGGUUCAAAAGUGAAAGACGGUCUUGCUGUCACUUAUAGAUGGAUCCGCGCUGCAUUAGCUAGUUGGUAAGGUAACGGCUUACCAAGGCAACGAUGCAUAGCCGACCUGAGAGGGUGAUCGGCCACACUGGAACUGAGACACGGUCCAGACUCCUACGGGAGGCAGCAGUAGGGAAUCUUCCGCACUGGCCGAAAGCCUGACGGAGCAACGCCGCGUGAGUGAUGAAGGUCUUCGGAUCGUAAAACUCUGUUAUUAGGGAAGAACAAAUGUGUCAGUAACUAUGCACAUCUUGACGGUACCUAAUCAGAAAGCCACGGCUAACUACGUG